UGGGGAAUUUUCCGCAAUGGGCGCAAGCCUGACGGAGCAAGACCGCGUGAGGGAGGAAGGCCCUUGGGUUGUAAACCUCUUUUCUCAGGGAAGAAGAAAGUGACGGUACCUGAGGAAUCAGCCUCGGCUAACUCCGUGCCAGCAGCCGCGGUAAUACGGAGGAGGCAAGCGUUGUUCGGAAUUACUGGGCGUAAAGGGCGCGUAGGCGGUCUGUUGCGUCAGGUGUGAAAGCCCCGGGCUCAACCUGGGAGGUGCACUUGAUACGGGCAGGCUAGAAUCCGGGAGAGGAUGGUGGAAUUCCCAGUGUAGAGGUGAAAUUCGUAGAUAUUGGGAAGAACACCGAUGGCGAAGGCAGCCAUCUGGACCGAUAUUGACGCUGAGGCGCGAAAGCGUGGGGAGCAAACAGGAUUAGAUACCCCCGUAGUCC
rnacentral:rRNA from 1 species